ACAGACACCCCCUCCCUGCGUCGUCUUCUCCGAACCCCCCUCCCCACCAUGGGCUGAUCUUCCUCAAUCGCUGGACACCAGGAAACGACCCCCUCCCUGGAACUCCCUGUUGGUUUCUGUACAAACGACCCCUCCAAUUUUUCUGCCUCACCACCUCUGUCGUCUCCCAGCACACCCAUCAAAACCAGACUUAACGCCUAAGAUGACCCCGGCGCCGACUGAAGUUCCGUCCGUUCGAGGUUGCAAAUCCGGUCCGAUUUUCGUCGUUUGGCACUUCAUUAUGACUGUGUAAUUGCUGAAAUUUCAGUUAAAUGAAGCUUUAAUUUCAGAUGCUCUGAAUUGCCAAUUCAUUUGCUCGGCCAGUCGAUUGUUAAUUUUGGUUCGUAUAUGCUUCGUCUCCAUUAAUCUCGAUUAGCAUCGUUUGAACUGAUGACUGAAUAGUUAGCAUCUUUUCUGCCACUGCUUCUUCUUCGCCGAUCGAAAUUCUAGCAAGCUCGAGCUCCAAGCAUCUCAGGUCUUUCUUUUCUCUCUCGUAUUUCAAUAUACUCGCUGGUACUUCUUCCUUUCUCCCCGCUUCCUGGACUUCUGCAACAUUUUUAUUCUUGUUGGGUUAAUCUCUUGUCGAGAUUUUUGUUGUUUUUUAGAGUGUAACUGCUAAUGGCUAUUGUUGGGUGAUUAUUGAAUCCCAAUUCGAUAGUUAAGUUUUGGCUAAGGUAUAGCUUUAUGGGGGCUUAGAGAAACGAAGUUUCAGUUAUGCACAUAAGGUGCUUGUGGAAAUGAUUGACCGAACUCAAUCAACAUGGAUUCUUUGAGUUUGAUUUUUGCGUAAUAUGUGGUGUUUUGAAGCUUAAUUCUUGUUGAUCUCUCACUGUUAAGGUACUGUAAUUGAGGUCGAGCUUUGAAUUUGUGUUGAUCCCUGUUUAAUCUAUGUCAAAUUGUGUGCAAAGUUGAGCAUUUGAGUCAGAUUGAAUGAGCUAAUUAUGUGUCUGAUGACAUGUGAUUGCUAUUCACUCAUUUGUCGGAAAAAGAUUAAAACCUAUAAUCGUUGCUUUCGUUUACUUGAUUUGCUUUCAUGUUGUGGCUAUUAUUUUGUAAUAUUGAAGCAUAUUUUAAUGUUGUCGACAAUCAAUGUGGAUUUGAAGUUCGAUUGGUAUUGUUUUGAGCAAUUAAUUUGUUGAGGUUGAGUUAAGGUAGUCAUGGCCCAACUUUAUCAAUUUCAUUUGAAUAAGUUGCAUAAAUCAUAUGUCUUUCCACAUUGUUUUCCACAAAGAUCUUUGCAUUGAACCUCAAAGUAGCGUAGGCUUAAUCAUGAACACCGUAGUUCUUUAAGUUGAGGCGUGUCAUGCCAAACAAAAUCUCAAAACCCAUGGCCCUCCAUUAAUUAUUUUAACUUCUUAGAAAUCGAGGCAUGCCAUUUAGUUGAAUUUUCCAUGGCCCUCGCAAAGUUGAAAGGCGUAGUCGCUUUAGGCGCGUUAUUUUAAUAAUUUACCUUCCUAAACUCGGGUGCGCAUUUAUGUGACCCAAAUCCAAAUCUCAACAACGUUGGAUAAAAUGUGUUGAGGACCGCGGGUGCAUUUAUGUGAUGUGGUUCAAGAUGUGUUUUAAUAACGUUGCAAUCUUCCUAAAAAUGAAUAAAAGCGGUUAAGGUUGAAAAUGCACAUAGGUUUGAACAUGUACUAAAAUCAGAUAAUUAAGCUGAAUAUAACAGUUGAGCGACCGUGCUAGAACCACGGAACUCGGGAGUACCUAACACCUUCUCCCGGGUUAACAGAAUUCCUUACCCGGAUUUCUGGUUCGUGGACAGUGAUACAGAGUCAUUCUUUCCUCGAUUCGGAAUUUGAACCGGUGACUUGGGACACCAUAAAUUAUCCCAAGUGACGACUCUGAAUUUUAAUAAAAUAACCCCGUUUUGAUUGUCACUUUAAGUUGGAAAAAACUCAUUUACACAUUCUUCCGGGGGGUGCAGGUAAAAAGGAGGUGUGACAGCUCUGGCGACUCUGCUGGGGAAAAGAACCCAGAAUCUCUGGUUCAGGGUUCAGAAUUCGAGCUUAGAAUAAUUGUUGUAUUUGGCUUUAUUUAUUAUCUAAUUUUAUUCACAUGUUUGGGCCUAAUAUACUAAGUGCUGCUUUUUACCGUUUUGAUAUUAUCUGAACUGUAUAUAAACUGCUACGAAACCCUUCUUUUCUCAUCUUCGAGGAUGUGCUCGCUGGUCGAGACUCCUUAUUCUGUUAGUGUCAUAUCUUGAAAUAAGAAAGAGGCUCGGACAAGUUACUAAGCCGGAUGGCCUUUUGGUUCCCGGUACGUAGCCCCCUUCUCGGCUCGAGUUGUCCGUUCGAGUACAUAAAUCUAGAACAAAUACCCAGGUUUUGAAUCUAGAAUAACUCAGCUUCAUGUCGGAUCCCUAGUAGGAACGCUUGUUUGCAUCAUGUGCACUUGACUUAGGGGACUCAACACAGGGGUUGGGUCCGUCUAGGACAGGUACACCCCAAAAGAAAGGGUGAAGUGUGAAGAUAAAGCGAGUUGGGCCCAAUUAUGUUGUUAAAAAAAACUUGAAAAUUCAAAAAAAAAAUUGCACUUUUUCAUCAUUUGUCGAAAAUCAGAAAAUAAAAAUAAAAAAGAGAAAAAGAAAAUCCAAAAAGAUUUUGCAUGUUUCGUUAUUUUUCAAGAAAAAGCAAAAACAAAUGUGUGAUUUCUAUAAAUUAGUGAUUUUUUUUAUUAUUCUCGGUCGUAUCCAAUCUGCCCGAACUACGCGAACCUGAUUCUCGUCUCUCGGGGCGGGAUACAUAGGCAACCCACAUAAGGUCUGGUCUUCCUAGUAAAUCUUAGGUUCUUGACUUUGCGGGGUCUUAGCCAAAUUUUGCACUUCUAGCCACCUUUUGGUCAAAUAAGCCAUUUUGCAAAAAUAGCCUCAAUCAUGUCUUGGAUAUGUCUUAGGGAAUAUUAUUGUCUCAUAUAGUGUUGGUUUAAGUUUUUUCAUACAGGUGUGGAUCUACUUGCCGAAGUUUUAGCAUGACAGAUACCCCAGGAUCACUGCAUUCAGGAGAUGCUCGAGGAGCCAUUAUGUUUUUGAGUCAAUUGUUUUUGUUUUAUUUUCUAGACCUG
rnacentral:lncRNA from 1 species